UGUCCCUACGGAGACAUCUUAUAAAAAUUAGAACGAUAUAGAGAAGAUUGCCAUGACCCGUAUCCAUAUGCAAGGAUGACACACAAAUCACAAAAAAAAAUAUGAUUUCU
rnacentral:snRNA from 1 species